GUAUAUUAACUGCCCUUGUGGAAGAAGGUGAGAGCUGAGCUUGGAAGGAAGUUUGCUGAUUCAGAGCUGGAGCCCGGAGUGCCCGGGGUGUCCUGAGGCUGUACGUUUAGGAUGUCUCUAUGGCUGUUGAUUUGAAACCGUGCAAGACGUUCUGGUAGCCAACAAAGGAAAGAGUCUUCAGUGUACUGGAAGGCGACUGACUGGCAAGGGAAUCUAGGUAGCAAAAUGUUAGCUUUGCCUAGAUUCCUCCACUAACAGCACUUUCUGGAAGGGACGGCUUCAUCUCUGUCUCCAACACAGCUUUCCUACAGGAUCCUUUCAGGGCUGCAUGCCUCACUGCUAUGAGCGACCUUAAUUGGAAAGGAAAACAAAAAACCGCUGCGGAAUUCCAUUACUAAAGCUUUUCAUCCCAACGGACAAGAAGCCGUCGCGGAUCUAGACUCAGGCUGUGGCCCGCGGCGUUACCUUUGGCUGGCCUCGAAGCACGCGGGCCGGGUUGCUCCGAGGCUGGGCCUGGCUGACUCUGCCCGAGCGACGGGACGGCAGCGGGCGGCCCGCCGCCCAGUGGCCCGCACACCGGUCCGCAGAGACCUCAGCCCGGGAGAGACGCCGGAGCCGGGUGCCCGGGCGGGACUGCACCAACGUUCGCGCAGCUGCUCCAGAUGCAGACGCGGGGGAGAAAGCUUACGAAGAUGGGGUCCACUCGCUCUCCGAAGCCGGGGAGGAAGGAUCAAUCCCGCGGGUGCUGGGCUUGAGCAGGUCUUACGGAGCUGGUAGCCACUGCCUCGCCCACAGUCUCUGGAGUUACAUCCCAAGGCAAACGGGCCUUCGGCCACUCAAGCCUAAAGCACCGAAGCCACUGCGAGCACCCCGCCUCAACACUUGUCACCCGAGGUCCGCGGCCCUGAUCCCUAGACCCGCCGGGCCGUGAGCGCUGGCGGCUGUCGGAGUCCCGGGCCGCCCCUCCUCUCCGUGGGCCUCUGGGUCGCCCGCACCGCGCCGGCCGCAUC
ensembl:lncRNA